CCUACGGGGGGCAGCAGUGAGGAAUAUUGGUCAAUGGACGAGAGUCUGAACCAGCCAAGUAGCGUGAAGGAUGACUGCCCUAUGGGUUGUAAACUUCUUUUAUAUGGGAAUAAAACGUUCCACGUGUGGGAUUUUGUAUGUACCAUAUGGAUAAGGAUCGGCUAACUCCGUGCCAGCAGCCGCGGUAAUACGGAGGAUCCGAGCGUUAUCCGGAUUUAUUGGGUUUAAAGGGAGCGUAGGUAGAUUGUUAAGUCAGUUGUGAAAGUUUGCGGCUCAACCGUAAAAUUGCAGUUGAAACUGGCAGUCUUGAGUACAGUAGAGGUGGGCGGAAUUCGUGGUGUAGCGGUGAAAUGCUUAGAUAUCACGAAGAACUCCGAUUGCGAAGGCAGUUCACUGGACUGCAACUGACACUGAGGCUCGAAAGUGUGGGUAUCAAACAGGAUUAGAUACCCUUGUAGUC
rnacentral:rRNA from 1 species